rnacentral:rRNA from 1 species
UACAGAGGGGGCAAGCGUUAUUCGGAAUUACUGGGCGUAAAGCGCACGUAGGCGGAUUUGUAAGUCAGGGGUGAAAUCCCGGGGCUCAACCUCGGAACUGCCUUUGAUACUGCAAAUCUCGAGUCCGGAAGAGGUGAGUGGAAUUCCUAGUGUAGAGGUGAAAUUCGUAGAUAUUAGGAAGAACACCAGUGGCGAAGGCGGCUCACUGGUCCGGUACUGACGCUGAGGUGCGAAAGCGUGGGGAGCAAACAGG